UAGGGAAUCUUCCACAAUGGACGCAAGUCUGAUGGAGCAACGCCGCGUGAGUGAAGAAGGUUUUCGGACCGUAAAGCUCUGUUGUUGGUGAAGAAGGAUAGAGGUAGUAACUGGCCUUUAUUUGACGGUAAUCAACCAGAAAGUCACGGCUAACUACGUGCCAGCAGCCGCGGUAAAUACGUAGGUGGCAAGCGUUGUCCGGAUUUAUUGGGCGUAAAGCGAGCGCAGGCGGAAGAAUAAGUCUGAUGUGAAAGCCCUCGGCUUAACCGAGGAAUUGCAUCGGAAACUGUUUUCUUGAGUGCAGAAGAGGAGAGUAGAACUCCAUGUGUAGCGGUGGAAUGCGUAGAUAUAUGGAAGAAUACCAGUGGCGAAGGCGGCUCUCUGGUCUGCAACUGACGCUGAGGCUCGAAAGCAUGGGUAGCGAACAGGAUUAGAUACCCUGGUAGUCCAUGCCGUAAACGAUGAGUGCUAAGUGCUGGGAGGCUUCCGCCUCUCAGUGCUGCAGCUAACGCAUUAAGCACUCCGCCUGGGGGAGUACGACCGCAAGGUUGAAAC
rnacentral:rRNA from 1 species